GAUGAACGCUGGCGGCGUGCCUAAUACAUGCAAGUAGAACGCUGAAGGGGGAGCUUGCUCUUCUGGAUGAGUUGCGAACGGGUGAGUAACGCGUAGGUAACCUGCCUGGUAGCGGGGGAUAACUAUUGGAAACGAUAGCUAAUACCGCAUGACAACAGUUAUUGCAUGAUAACUGUUUAAAAGGGGCAACUGCUCCACUACCAGAUGGACCUGCGUUGUAUUAGCUAGUUGGUGAGGUAACGGCUCACCAAGGCGACGAUACAUAGCCGACCUGAGAGGGUGAUCGGCCACACUGGGACUGAGACACGGCCCAGACUCCUACGGGAGGCAGCAGUAGGGAAUCUUCGGCAAUGGACGGAGGUCUGACCGAGCAACGCCGCGUGAGUGAAGAAGGUUUUCGGAUCGUAAAGCUCUGUUGUAAGAGAAGAACGAGUGUGAGAGUGGAAAGUUCACACUGUGACGGUAUCUUACCAGAAAGGGACGGCUAACUACGUG
rnacentral:rRNA from 1 species